rnacentral:rRNA from 1 species
AGUGAACGCUGGCGGUAGGCCUAACACAUGCAAGUCGAACGGCAGCACAGAGGAGCUUGCUCCUAGGGUGGCGAGUGGCGGACGGGUGAGGAAUACAUCGGAAUCUACUCUGUCGUGGGGGAUAACGUAGGGAAACUUACGCUAAUACCGCAUACGACCUACGGGUGAAAGCAGGGGAUCUUCGGACCUUGCGCGAUUGAAUGAGCCGAUGUCGGAUUAGCUGGUUGGCGGGGUAAAGGCCCACCAAGGCAACGAUCCGUAGCUGGUCUGAGAGGAUGAUCAGCCACACUGGAACUGAGACACGGUCCAGACUCCUACGGGAGGCAGCAGUGGGGAAUAUUGGACAAUGGGCGCAAGCCUGAUCCAGCCAUACCGCGUGGGUGAAGAAGGCCUUCGGGUUGUAAAGCCCUUUUGUUGGGAAAGAAAUCCAUCUGGUUAAUACCCGGGUGGGAUGACGGUACCCAAAGAAUAAGCACCGGCUAACUUCGUGCCAGCCGCCGCGGUAA